rnacentral:rRNA from 1 species
GUUCUCAAUAAUUAAGUUAAUACUAAUUCACGAAGGGCAUGGAGCUAAUUAUAUUGUAGUAUAUAGCUACUAAAUUAUAUGUGGCAGCAUAUAAAGAAUAAGUAUAAUUAGGGGUGAUAGGCUUAUCAACAUGUUGGAUAUCUUGAUUUACAGGAAAAAUAUUAAGUAUUUAAUCAGACUAGAAAUGGUUAGGUUUCUAGUCAACAUUAAAUUAAACGUGGAAGGUUCAGUUUAUAUAACAGUUACUGUUUUUCGUUUAUUAUAAUAUUACAUUUCUGGUUUAUGCGUUGUACUGUAAAGUUAUGCUUAUUUGUUUGGAUAUUUUUUAAUGAAAAUAUUAGUAUUACCACCUAAGCUGAAAAAAGGAAUUCGGCAAACUUUUGCUCAACUGUUUAACAAAAACAUAGCUAAACGUCAUUACGUUUGGUUUUUUCUGCUCCAUGAUUAUUUAAAUAGCCGCAGUA